UGUUUAAAUAUUUGUUAUAUUUCCUGUUAAUCAGGUCAUAUGUACACUGAUACAAGUUUCAAGGUUGGGUUAGAUUUAUAAUAAAAGCUCCAGGAUUACUGACACACAGCAGGGACGUCUUAUCUGAAGCUGCCUACAAACAAAACAAGACAUCUUCUGGAACAAAAUAUAAUUUUGUCUGAAAUAACAAGAUCAUGAAGUUCCAUCAGUCUGUUGUGAUUCUUCUGCUGGUCUUGUGUGCCUCUUUGUCCACUGAUGCUCAACCAGCAGAUGUAAGGCACACAAUAGGGGCGACAUACACACAGGAUGUCAACACUGGGCUAAGGCAUCAACAGUGCGCAUUGUUCUGGCAUGUGAACGUGGGUGGCCGGUACAUUUUCAACGUGUAGAAAAUUAUCCUUAAAAUAGUCUCAACUACUUCCAUGUUUCAAUUGUGUUCAAUUUUGUGUCAUUUUUUACACUGGGUUGCCCCAGUGCAACAGAUAUAUUGUAUGCAGUAAUAAAAUGUAAUCAAAAAUGUU